rnacentral:miRNA from 1 species
CACCAUUUUGGUGCAAAAUGGUGCAACACUAUUCACUUUGCACCAUUUUGCACCAAAAUGGUG